rnacentral:tRNA from 1 species
GCACCUAUAGCUCAGCUGUUAGAGCACCAGCCACAUAUACUGGAGUUGGCGGGUUCGAAUCCAGUCCAGGUCUG